rnacentral:rRNA from 1 species
CCCUUAGAUGUCCGGGGCUGCACGCGCGCUACACUGAAUGAAUCAGCGUGCUAGAAAACCUUGUUUGACAUGGCUAGGUAACCCAUUGAAAAUCAUUCGUGAUUGGGAUCGGGACUUGCAAAUGUGUCCCUUGAACGAGGAAUUCCCAGUAAGUGCGGGUCAUCAGCUCGCGUUGAUUACGUCCCUGCCCUUUGUACACACCGCCCGUCGCACCUACCGAUUGAAUGGUCCGGUGAAGCCUCCGGAUUGCGCGGCUUCGGCUGUCGCGAGAAGUUGGCUAAACCUUACCAUUUAGAGGAAGGUGAAGUCGUAACA